GAUGAAGAACGCGGCGAAAUGCGAUAAGUAAUGUGAAUUGCAGAAUUCAGUGAAUCAUCGAAUCUUUGAACGCACAUUGCGCCCGCCAGUAUUCUGGCGGGCAUGCCUGUCUGAGCGUCAUUUCAACCCUCAUGCCCCUAGGGCGUGGUGUUGGGGAUCGGCCAAAGCCCGCGAGGGACGGCCGGCCCCUAAAUCUAGUGGCGGACCCGUCGUGGCCUCCUCUGCGAAGUAGUGAUAUUCCGCAUCGGAGAGCGACGAGCCCCUGCCGUUAAACCCCCAACUUUCCAAGGUUGACCUCAGAUCAGGUAGGAAUACCCGCUGAACUUAAGCAUAUCAAUAAGCGGAGGA
rnacentral:misc_RNA from 1 species